UGCAACUUUGCUCAUGUUAUUUGGCUCUGUAGGAAAAGUCACAUUCGACUGACCACAAAUAAUACUGGCUUCAACAGUGAUGAAAUCAGAAGGAAGAUCAGCACUGAUUAUACCUGUGCCGGACCAGAAAUCAGAGAAAGAAAGAAGGGUGUUGAAAAGUAAAAUAUGGUCGCACAGUAGAAUAAUGUAGGUUGGACCUCUGGAGGCCAUCUGAUGGAUGUUAGACAAAGACAGAAAUUAAAAAGGAAUCCUGUAACCUCUCAAAUCUUGCAUGGGCUUGACUUCUGCUUGUUGUGAAUGAGGAGGAACACGUCAGACUUGCAGCUUACUCUCUCUGCUUGCGCAUUGUAGGAACUGGAAAAGAGCGUUCUCUUCAACACAAAAUAUUGACUGGCAGAAUGGCAAAAGAAGAGUGUUAUUAGAGAUCGAUGAUCAGUCUGGCACAGAGAACACAAAUGAGGAGGACACAUCUGAAAUCUGGAUCCAGAAAAGUCGUUCAGUAAGACAAUCACAUGACACACAUUGA
rnacentral:lncRNA from 1 species